rnacentral:lncRNA from 1 species
UUUUCUUUUUCUUCUUUUCCAAGCUUUGAGCACUUGAUCAUCACCAUGGCCAUCACCAUCAUCAUGAUCUUCAUUCACUUGCUGCAUUGUUUGGUGUGUACUAAGCUAUCUCAUAUUCACUUAGAGCCAAAGGUUAGUACCUAGGAUUUCAUCAAUUAUCCAAAACCAAACUAGGACUUUCAAACGUUCAAAAAUCAAAUGUUGUAACAUCCCAAUGUCUCAUUCAACAUAGAGAAAGAAUGGGCACAACAUCAUAAAUCAACUACCACAACAUCGUCGGCCAUGCAGGCUUGGAUGUGUAUGGUAGCAAUCAAGGGAUGGGUUUGCGGGUGAAAGUUUCAGUUCCAAUUGGAGUCUGAUGGUCCCCAUGGGCAAUGGGAGAGAGAAGGGGUCUAAGGCGGCCCGGCACCCCCCAACCUUCUCAUACCUCCUAUGAUACACCCCUUAAAUAUGAUACUUAAUUAUCUAAUUAGCAAGUUUAGUAAUGAUAUUUGUACAUUGACUUUUUUUAACCUUUCUCCAUAUUAAUCUCUAAAGUAUCUUAUAUAAUUAAAAAUGUCUUUCUAUUAUUUUCUUAAUCUCUUUGGUUAAUUUUAUUAUUGUGUACUAAACAUUAGUUUGUUCUGUUCACAUAGGUCAGCCGUAUUUUGGGUUGUUGGACCUUGUAACAUGUUGGGACUUCUUAGGGACGCGAAUAGGGGUCCUUGGCUAGCUUAGACCUUAUCAUCAGUAGUCGUUCUCCACAUUAGGGUUUUAAUUUUGCUUUAGAUCAAUCUGUCUUUGAAUUAUCGCCAUCAUUGGUUGUGAAAUUCUAACUUCGAGUGAUUGAUAAUACAUCAGUAAUUGUCAUUUCGAUUGAGUUGCUUCUUUUCAAAUUCUUGCUUGUGUUCUUUGUUUCAUAGGUAGAGAUUAGUUUUCUUGGUGAGGUUGACCAGAUUAUGACACGGUUGGUAACUAGAGUAGUCCUAGUGCUAAGGUUGUAUUGUUCGGGUUUUCUGAUCUGAAGUCAGAUCAAUGCUCUAACAAAAACGAUAGUUAUAUUCACUUGACGGAAGAUCAGGAACCUUGUCCCAUCAAAAAACAUACAAUUUGAUAUAAAUAUAUUUUAUCAGUCGGAGGUAUUAAACAAUAACUAAUAUUUUUGUUUGGCUGAUAAGCCAUGACAGAAAUUAUUGUUGGUUGUAAUGAAUAACUGACAGAUUUGUCUCAAGCGAACAAGCUGUAUGUCUAGUAAAAUUUUAAACCGCGUGAAAGCACAGGUUAUAAUAAUAACUUAAAUUCCUCGAAUCUAGCGAAUUAGCCUGGAUCCGAAACAAAACCUCUAUCUAGCUCGAAGUACGCAACUGACCAAACCCGACCAAACCAAACUAAACCAUUGAUAAUAAAUUAACUGAUGAUGAUGACAGCAACUACUACUCCGAAUAAACGAGGCCACCCCAGACAGGCAGACACGGCUGGCAGCUCUCAAACACACAAAUGUCCAUGGGGAAGCCCAAGUCGUCGUCGACGUCGUGGUCUGCGCUGUUGGGUUUCGGCUGCUUCAGCUCUUCCCAUGCCGACCGCUCUGGCUCCGGCUCCGGCUCCGGCAACGGCAACGCGGCCAAGGUGGCCUCCUCCAGUUCCAGGCCUCCGGCACCCGCACCAGCGCCGCUGCCUUCGCCAGAGGACCUAUCGCUGUCGCUGGCGGGGUCUGACGUGCUCGCUUUCACGGUGGAGGAGCUCCGGGUGGCAACGCGGGACUUCUCGAUGAGCAACUUCGUCGGCGAGGGCGGGUUCGGCCCCGUGUACAAGGGCCGCGUCGACGACCGGGUCAGGCCCGGCUUGCGGCAGCCGCAGGCCGUCGCCGUCAAGCUGCUCGACCUCGAGGGCUCCCAGGGCCACAAGGAGUGGCUGGUAAUAAGCAAGUUUCAUUCUGAAUCCAUCCAUCCAUUCUUCUGAAUUCAUCUUCAAUUCGUUGCAGAAUUCCGAUCCCUCGUUGAAAGUAAAAGCUAACACUUCGCAAAUUAAAUAGAGUCGUUAAUUAAUAAUCUCUUUCACUUCUGAAUGAUUUUGGUUUGGGCAGUGGCAGUUCAGCACUUCAUUCAGUCUGGAGUAGUAUAACGAUUGGCUUUUGUGUUUUUAAUUGAGGUAAUAGUAUAUUUGAACUAAUCAGCUGGCAAGAUUGGACCUAUUUAUCAUUUUAUUAGGUUUAUUAUAGAGAAGUACUACCAUUUACACUGCAAAUAAGUUUAUUAUUUUUUUAUUCUUAUGAUUAAUCUAUUGAUACACUUAUGCAUCAUAGAUAUUAGUAUUUUCUAACACAUUUGAUCAAAUUUGAAAUUGAUUGACCUAUUUAAAAAUAGAAAUUAGAUUUUUGGGGGAUGGGAGACUGGAGAGUACAGUGCUAAGCAGUAAUGUUGAAGUUCAACUGUUGUGUUGACCAUGUUCUCGGUGCUCCCCUUCCUUUAAUCUGUCUUUAGAUAUAAGAUACUUAAGAUAAACUAGCUAAUUAAAAAAAGUCAAUUAUCCUGUCAUGUAUUUAUUAUAUUAGAAACUUAGAAAGUAUAAUAUUAGUAUUUAAGCACUUGUUGACUUUGCAACGAAACUAAACUAAAAAUAGUAGAAUUAAACUGAAAGAUUAUUAAACUGUUGUUGGCUCUAGUCACUGAUAAUUAGUAGUACUCACUAUAUUCUAAAUUAUAAGACGUUUUGGCUUUUCUCUGUACAUUGUUUUUAUUAUUUUUAUUAUGUAACUAGACAUAAUAUAUACUUAAGUGCAUAGCAAAAAUCUAUGUAUCUAGAAAACUCAAAAGCAUCUUCUGAUUUGGAAUGGAUGGAUUAUUAACUUAGAUUAACUAAAUAGAAUUAAAAUCUUAUACAGCUUCAGAUAGUUUUUUCCCUACUAUUUCCAGGGAGUGCCGUUAAAAAAUAAUCCCUACUAUUUCCAGCGAGUGCCGUUAAAAAACAAUCAUACGUGGAAUGAAGUUAAUUUCUACUUCCAUUUUAGUACUUCAUGUAAGAAUGAAUUGAGCCCUGCUCAAAAGUCCAAAGAAAAUAGUAUUGUUCCCAUCCGAAGAAAAUAGUAGUGUCGCCAUCUAUAGCUUAGCUGUGAUCACUUUUGGAAGUCGCGAUGUCUUCUCCCCUCUUCAGACACACAGUUUCCUUUGAGAAUUCUUUGUUUCGUGCCCUGGAGAUGUAUGUAGCGCGUCAACUUGUCAACCACCAAACUAACACUGCUGAUUUGGUCAAACAAUUCUUCUUUCCAAGUGUUGGUGGUCAAAAUAUUCCUUAAAAUACUAAGAAAAUGGUGUUUGUGUUGACUUGCAACUACUAGCUGUGAUGAUUUACUUGUUUUUGCUGGACUGGACUGGACUGGACAGGCUGAAGUUAUUUUCCUUGGGCAGCUGAGGCAUCCACAUCUUGUCAAACUCAUCGGCUACUGCUACCAGGACGAGCACAGGCUUCUUGUGUACGAGUUCAUGGCCAGGGGCAGCUUGGAGAAGCAUCUCUUCAAAAGUAGGGCAAAUUGAUCGUCUAUAAAUUUGAAUUCAAGUUUUUCUUAGCAAUAGAAACUCUACGAAUUCGAAUAACGAUCUGCUGGUGCAUGAAUGAAUGCUCUCUCUUCAUGGAAAUGAAAUGACAGAGUACACUGCUUCCCUGCCGUGGCUGACGCGUCUGAAGAUCGCCAUUGGAGCUGCCAAAGGUUUGGCCUUCCUCCACGAAGCUACCAAGCCCGUGAUCUACCGCGACUUCAAGACCUCCAACAUCCUUCUGGACUCAGUAUGUCUGUCAUGAGAUGCAUGGCCUGGCCACAAGAUCAAGUUGAUGUGAUUUUCCUUUUCCUUCCCUUUAUAAUUCACUGAUGAUCGCUUGUGUUGUGUUGUGUUGUGUUUGGAUCAUAUAUGCAUCAUCAGGACUACACGGCGAAGCUGUCUGAUUUCGGGCUGGCAAAGGACGGGCCUGGAGAAGACGAGACCCACGUGUCGACCCGAGUGAUGGGCACGCAGGGCUACGCCGCACCAGAGUACAUCAUGACGGGGCAUCUGACGACGAAGAGCGACGUGUACAGCUUCGGCGUGGUGCUGCUGGAGCUGCUGACGGGGCGCAAGGCGGUGGACAAGAACCGGCCGCCGCGAGAGCAGAGCCUGGUGGAGUGGGCGCGCCCAUGCCUGCGCGACGCUCGCCGGCUGGAGCGCGUCAUGGACCGGAGGCUGCUGCACCCGACGCCCACUCGAGCUGCCCACAAGGCCGCCGGGGUAGCGCACCAGUGCCUCAGUGUAAGCCCCAAAUCACGGCCUCAGAUGUCCGCCGUCGUAGAGGCCCUGGAGUCGCUGCUCGCUCUAGACGAUGCCGCUGUGGAGCCAUUUGUAUACACGGCGCCGCCGGCGAACAGAUGACCUGACCUGUGCUGGUCAUCUUGUAUUGUAUGUAUGCUUUCCGGCCGUUGGUGUGGUAAUUCCAUUUCCCUAGCCUAACACACAUACACACGCACGGCUCAUUCAAAUCUCAAGACUACCGUUGUUGAUCUUGAUCGUGCAAGGAGGAUGGUGGUACUGGUAGGGAGCACGCGUGCUUUGCCGGCGCCAAAGCGAAAGGCGGCGUGGCCAGACAACGCACGCAGCCUUUUUCUCUUCUUUUUCCGUCGUGUCCCACAAAGGAUGGGAUCUGUGUUGUGUGUGUGUGUCUUCACUACGGUAGGACGAUUUCAGGCAAGAAUCUUCACAUAGCACUAGCACCAUUGUACUCGUACCAUGAAACAGGCAAGCAGCAGCUCAUAUAGCAGAAAUAUCUGUUAACAUGUUCAGCGAUGCACUCGUUUGAAUCUCAAUUUUUUUUUUAAAAAAAAAAGUUUAAAACAUAAACUCCGCAGAAUACGUUCAAAGAGAUAAAACCACGUCAAUACAACUUGACAGGGUAGUAGCAGAUAAACACUGUAUUCUCAAUACAGGGUUUACCAGGCACACCGGCAUAUAAUAUGGCAACACCAAACGGCGGAUUCAUUCAGAUCCAGGGUUACUUCAUGUCAUGUCUGAUGAAAACAUAUAAUAACGCUAGAAGGAAAAAAAACAAAGGAAACCUCACAUGUUAAUUCCACAAGUUUAGUUUCAUGCCGGACUUCUGAAAACUAGAGGAGGCCAAGUUGAGGUCCGGCGAGUUACCGACCGACCCACACCCGGUACCCAGGGAAGGAAGAAACAAAUACAGGUUUGCAGUCGAGAGCUUCACGCCGAUUCUCUUUGUGAAGCGAUCAGCAAACUAACAUCAACCUAUCCUAUCCUUCAUCUGCUAAGCUAAGCAGCAUGAUUAGACGACUUAGACACCAGGAAGACUCAGCUUAAUUAUUAUUCACCUCACAUCUUCCAUGUAUACGCGACCGGGCUGCGAACGACGUGUUCAUCGUUCACCCAGGAUAUCCACCCGAAAUCCGGUUUCGCGUGGCUCUGACCAGCCUUGGACGCAAAGGUGACAUGGUACCUGAGCUUCUGCCCCGCCUUCUUGAAGGUCAGUUUCGCCGGUGUCACCGUGACAGCAACGGAUUCAGGGCUGAUCACCUUCACGUUGUAAACCGAAGUCGCGGGGCCAACAUUGGUUAGCUCCCUUCUGAACCUCUGCACCGGCUUUGAUUUCUGAUUGAACACCACCGAGAAGGAUGGGUAGUUGAGAUCACCGGGGCGGAAUUUCUUCGGGCAGGAGACGUUGGACGUCUUGGUGAUCACUUGGAUGUGCGGGGCGCUGUAGUUCAGGGAGCAGAGGAAGGCAGCAUAGUCGUUUGUAGAGAUGUCGUACACGAGGCCCGGAGAAAGCGCCUUCUGUGGGUCGACAUGGCCGGCGCCGUAAGCAAACGCGUUUGCAAGCGAACCGUCCGCGGCGUCCCGGAGAGAGGAGUUUGUGUUGUCAACGGUGUAUGCAGUGGUCAUUAGCGCAGACUUGAUGGCAGCAGGGCUCCAGUCAGGGUGAGCGGCCUUCAUGAGCGCAGCCACUCCACUAAUGUGAGGGCACGACAUCGAUGUGCCUGCAGGAAUCAAAACAAGUAAUCAAUUGGUAAUAUACUUGACUGAUAAAACUGAUGUAUUCAGGACUGAGGAAUGUCAACCAUGAAAGAAACUCACUAUAUAAGCAUGAACAAUAAAAUAAAUAGAAUAAGAAACUGACAGUUCAGCAUACAAGAGCUGUGCCUGGAUAGAGUCUCGACAAGUCAGUUUUCCUUGCAUUCUACUGUGUAAUAUAUCAACUAUUCUAAAAAAAUGAGGAAUCUGUCUCUUUUCUCAUAGGAAAGAUCCACAGCAUGGUGAAAAAAACAGCAGCUAUUAGUUCAACCGCCUUGACGACAGGAAGCAGAAAUUCCACUCUGGAAACACUAAUCUGCUGAUAACAAAUCAAUAACCCAACAUCCACAUAUACCGUAUGUAUUCUUAGAAAUCAAUCUACUUAAGUAUAGGAGAGAAUCAGAGACUCCUACACUAAUUAAACAAAUACUAAUCAAUGAGAACUGAGAUCUCUCAGAAUUAUUUGAUUAUAUUUCAGCAGUGAUGACACCUUUGCUAAGCUAGUACUGAAAAUACCACCACAGUUUUGCAAGAUCCUUCGUUUCAGAAAAAGUUAUGCAAGAUCUGGUUUAUAGAGUUGGAGAGUACUCAAAACACUAGUGUCCCCUUGCCUCAUGCCUUUUGAAUUGUCAAGAAAAAGAGCAAAAGUAAAAGGUAACUUGUCCUUGCUGCUGUUGCCUUUUAAGCGGUUCAUAUCUAGCAGAGCAUCACAUGUGCGACCCUGACAAAAGAUGGUGAAAGCAAAUGCGAUUUCUUACGACACGAAUGAAAGUUAAGAUGAAACGGCCUUUCUGCAACAGCAUGAGCGUGACUGUAUCUGAUAAAAGGCCCUGUUUGCCAGUAUUAUCUCUUUUACUAGCUGAAUUGUCUAUGCGUAAGAGUAGGAGCAGUAGUAACUCCGAACAGGCUAGCAACGUGACAAUACUAUGUGAAAUUUUGAAUCUGAGCACUGAGCACGAGCGGUGCAAGAGCUUGAUAAAGACGACAACAACAAGACAAGAUGUGAAAAAUUUGAAUCUGAACGACGCAAUAGCUUCCUAGGGAUAGUGAAAAUUCUGAAUCUGAACAAGAACAAUGCAGGAAAGAGCUUGGUAGGGACAGUGGGGCACUCACCUGAGAUGAUGUUGAAGUGAGUCCGGCGGCCGUCUUUGGCGAGUCCGGUCGGUCCAGCGACGCCGGUCCAAGCGGCCAGGAUGUUUACCCCCGGGCCGAUCAUGUCCGGCUUCAAGAUCUCCGGCACCACGGUGUUGGGGCCGCGGGAGCUGAACGCCGCCACGACUGGAGACGGCCGGACGCCAAGAACCGUGCCGCCGAAGCUCAGCAUUGCCAUGGGCCUGCCGCCGCCGCGCCCGCGCGCCGCGUACUCCCGUAUCUUGUCACCCACCAUCCGCCCCACCGCCACCGCGGGGAGCAGGUGGCUGUCCGCCACGAGCUCCUCUCCGCUGGCCGCCGUGUUGGCCAAUAUCAUGCCGGCGCCGCCGGCCGCCUUGACGACGGCGCCCUUCUCCACGCGCGCGUUCACGCCGCGGUCGCAGAGAACUAUUUUGCCGCGCACUGCGGCCGGGUCCAGCGUCCCAGAGAGGCAGAGCUUGCUGGCGUUGUCACGCCCGCCGCCGUAUAGGAGCGGGAGCAUGGCGGGGCGUGGGGAGGGAGAAGGCCCCGCGUAGAGGGACACGCCGGGCAGGCGCACGCCUGUGGGGAGCGUGACGUAUGCCGGGAAAUCGCGGUCGAGUGUCCCGGCGCCGACGGUGGCGACCCACGGAGCCGAGUUCGAGACGGUGGCGCCGGAUGGGCCGGAGUUCCCGGCGGAGCAAGAGACGAACACGCCGGCCGCCGCGGCACCAAAGGCGCCCACCGCUACGGUAUCCCGGAAGUACGGCGCUGAGCCGCCGCCGAGGGACAGCGACAGCACGCCCACCCCAUCAGCGACAGCGGCGUCAAUGCCGGCUAGGAUGUCGGAGCCGAGGCACCCCUCCGGCCAGCACACCUUGUACGCGGCCACGCGCGCCCCGGGCGCCAUCCCGCGCGCCGUCCCCGUGGCGUACCCGAGCAGGCUUGCGUUGGCCACCACCGCGCCGGCCGCCGUGGUCGCCGUGUGCGUGCCGUGCCCGUCCCUGUCCCGGGCCGACCUGAACGUCCUCUUCCCCACGCCUAUUGCGCCGCCGUUUGCCGCAUGGAGGCCGCGCGAGAAGCUGCGCGCGCCCACCAGCUUCCUCCCGCACAAGCUCGGCGGGAAAUCCACGCCAGCCUCGCACACCCCCUUCCACCGCGCGGGCGGCGGCGGCAGGUUGCCGCCCGCGAAGCUCGGCGACUCCGGCCAUACGCCGGUGUCAAGAACCCCUAUGACCACGUCGUGCGUGGCCGCCUCCAGAUUGCCGAUGGCGGGCUGGUAGGCCGGCGUGAGAAGGCCCAAGAACUCCGGGGAGCGCGUGGUGUGGAGCUGGAACACCUCGUCCGGCACGACCUGGAGCACCUCGGGGCUGCCGCGGAGCAGGGGCAAAUGGCCCGGUAGCAGCGCCGCCGCGAAUCCGUGCGCGGCGGCGGAGUAGGAGUACAGCAAGUGGCGGGACGGGUCGAUGGACAGCGACUCGAGAUGCGCCGCGUGCCAGUGCGCCGGUGUCCGGUGCACGGCCGGCAUGCGCGCCGGGUCCAUGAACACGAUGUACGUCGUCGUGUUGCUGCCGUUGCCAUUGGCAUGGGCAAGCGAGGGGCUUGCAAGGAGUGCAAGGAGGAGGAAGGGGAGAGCAAGCUCCAUUGGAGGAGGGAGCUGCGAGUGGAGGGGAGUGAGAUUGAGAGUGAGGUGGUGAAGUGGUAGUGAUAAUGGCGGCUGGGCGGGGGCAAAGUAGGUAGGGCCCUUGUGCAGUGCUUUAGAGAGGGUUUUGGGGGCUUUGCAGUGGAUGAAGAUAGAAGAGAAUGUCUCGGGCAUUUUUAUAAUAAAAUGAAUAUAAAAAAUAGAUUAGGAGAAACAUGAUGAGUGAGUAAUGGAACAUCAUUUUAGGAUUAAAAUAAAUUUUGCAAUUAUUUGGCUAAAGAUUGUUUCUAAUGUUCUACUGCUAAAGUUUGGUACAUCUAGCUCUGUAAUCUUUAUGAAAUAUUUUUAGGAGCUUUGGAAGGUUUUGGAGCUUUUUAUUAGGAUUGUGACUAUUGAUAUAGAGGAUCAAGCAGAUAAUCUUCAUUUUCUAAAAAAAAAUGGUGGUUUUGAGUAGUAUGUAAUGCAUCAUCAUUUCUACAUUAAUGGAUUUGACCAUUAUUAUUUGGGUGAAGUAUUUUUUUAAGCGGUAACAGUUUUGUGAUAAUUAGGUUCCUUUUAUGCUACAAACGAGUUUUUCAUGUAACCUGGUUGAUCAAUGGUAUCCUCUCCUCUAUAAAGAGAGUUUGGAGACUUCUUUUUAUGGAUGAUUGGUGUGACUUAUGGGAGGAUUGAUACGUAGAACUAGAAGAAUGUUCUGCGUGUUGUGGGAAUCGAUAGUAAAAUUAUACUACUUAGGCCUUGUUUAGUUUCAAUUUUUUUUUGCAAAAUAUACACUGUAGCACUUUUAUUUAUAUUUGAUAAAUAUUGUCCAAUCAUGAACUAACUAGAUUCAAAAAAUUCGUCUCGCAAAUUACAGGUGAACUAUGUAAUUAGUUUUUAUUUUCGUUUAUAUUUAGUGCUCCAUGCAUACGUCUAAAGAUUCGAUGUGACGGGUAAUCUAAAAAGUUUUGUAAAAUUUUUUGAAACUGAACAAGGCCUAAUAUUUAUUUAUAAUGAACGGAUAAAUAUCGUAAUAUAUGUUAGUGGAUGAUUUUUGUCACUCUGAUAUAGAAUGUAUGUUAGUAAAUAAUGUAGUUUGCUAAUGUAAAUUACUUGAAUGAAGACAUAAUGGUAUGUGCUAGUGAUCUUGAUGUGGACACAUUGUAUAACCAGAUAGUUGUAUGUGCUAGUGAUCUUGAUGUGUACACUUCACAUGACGAGAUAGAUUGCUAUGUAGAAAAAGAUAUAUAGAUAUAGAUGUCUUUGUUAUUCAAGUUGGAGAUAUGAUUAGUAUCGAUGAGUAAUGUAACUACAAUUUCUGCACAAGCCAAGCUUCUUUUAUUUCAUAUAUGCAGUGAGCUUUUUCCGAUUUUGUGGAUCAAUUGCACCCAAAGUAUGUGAAAUAUUUUGGGUGGGUGGGGGGGGGGAGAACUAGCAAAACUAAUAAUGUGUUUACCCAUGUAUAAAUCGAGGUUUGGUAUGAUUUUUUGUACAUCAUGCGUUAGUAAUAUUGAGGAAAUACUCUAGGUAUGUUUUGUGUUUGUAACAUGGCAUGAUGGCAGUAUUAUUCUAAGUUGGAAAAGUAGUCAUUUCGGAGAACAAACAAGAAGUAAUUGCAAGUCAAUUGCGAUAUACUAUACGCUUACCACUAUUAUUAUUAUAAACUUAUAUUUCCUCCGUCACAGCUGUCACACUUUAGAUUAGUUACAAGGUCUUGUUUAGUUCUAAAAAAAUUGUAAAAUUUUUCAGAUUCUUCGUGAUAUCAAAUCUUGUGGUACAUAUAUGGAGCAUUAAAUAUAAAUAAAAAAUAACUAAUUGCACAGUUUACUUAUAAAUUACGAGACGAAUCUUUUGAGUUGAUUAAUAUGAUUAGAUAAUAUUUGUCAAAUACAAACGAAAGUGCUAUAGUGUCUAUUUUGUAAAAAAAUGGAAGUAAACAAGGCCUUAAUAUAUAGAUAUAUAAGGCCCACUUUGGAUCCGUAUAAAAAAUAUGUUGUAUUUUAUUAGAUUGUGUACAUGUAUAUGUCAAAAUCUAUUAGAAUCCUAUCUUGUUUGGAUGGGAUUUUAGAUUCUAAGGUUUUUUUUUUAUUCAAAUUGUUAGAAUCGUAACCAAACGGUACAUAAAGAGUAAAAUACAUUGGCGGCCCUUUAACUUGUCGCCCUGUGCCACUUUGGUCCAUGAACUUGCAAACGCGAAAAAAAGGCCUCUAAACUUGUCAGCAUGUGCCACUUUGGUCCAUGAACUUGCAAACGCGAAAAAGUACCCCCUGAACUUGUCGACGUGUACCACUUUGGUCCAUGAACAUGUAAAUAUGAAAAUAACACCGGCUGCAUGGCACCGUUUAUGGUGCUAACGUCAGCGAUGAUGUCAGCAUUUCUUUUUUAGUUUACGAAAUUGAUAUACUUUUAUUCGUAGCAUCAAAUAUAUCAAAAAAUAUAUCAAUUCGUUGCAUUUAUUAAUUAAAAGAGAUAAUUUUAAAACUAGCAAAAAUUAUUCGUUUUCUAGGUUUCAUAUUUUUCCUAGGCAGAGUACACAUGAAGAGGCUACACAAAACAUUUCAUGAAUUUAGCAUUUCAUUAAUAAUUAGUUGUGAAAUAAAUAAAUAUUUGUUGACGUGUUGAAAGAGCCUUUACACGUUUAUGGACCAAAGUGACAUAGGCCGACAAGUUCAGGGGCCACUGUUUUGCGUUUGCAAGUUCAUGGACCAAAGUGGCAUAGACAGACAAGUUUAGGGGUCACUUUUUCGGAUUUACAAGUUCAUUGACCAAACUAGCACAGGCUGACAAAUUAAAGGGCCGCCAAUAUAUUUUACUCGUACAUAAAUAAGUCAGGCCCAAACGGCCGAGGGAUGCCAAGAAGGCAAAAAAUUUUUUACCGUUUGUACUAGAGCACGGGACGGAUGAUGGAUCUCUUAAGCACAAGUAGUCAAGUAUUUGACAUUUGAGUAUAAACCAAAUAAUUAGAGCCAAAUUAUAUCAUAAGUUUUCUCAUAUUGUCUUUAAGAUACAUUUUCUUUUCUAUUCCUUCUUACGAUCACAACACUUACUAUUUGAGCCACCAUUAUUUAUGCAUCUAUGUCUAAUGUGGUGUUUGUAUGAGAAUCAAGCUAUCAUCUUUCCUGUCUUUUUUCCUCUAUAUCAACAUUAGCUUAGCUAUAAGCCCAUUAAUAUAUCUACUCUAACACAAAUGUGUACAAUACAGAUAGCGCGCGUAUGCUGCAAGGAACACUUAGACACCGUUCGGUUGGUACCGAACCUUGCCCUGGAACCAUUCCGAGCAGGAAUGAUAGUAUAAUUUAUAUAGUUUUUGUUGGAAUUAUUACUAGGUUCAGGCUUAUCAACAGAAUCUACCAAGUAUUCAUAGUAGUAUUUUUCUUUCACAAUAAAAAUUAGUUAAUAGUAUUUCCCUCAAAAAAAUUAGUUAAUAGUAUUUCUUGUAAUGAUUUAUCAAUCAAACGAACAAGACUUUAACCUGGUGUCUAGUGGGAUCCACCCGUGAAUAGCAAAUUACUGAUCCUAGGUCUUGUUUAUUUCCUGAAAUUUUUUGCAAACUACUAUUAUAGCAUUUUUAUUUAUAUUUAAUAAUUAUUAUUCAAUCAUAGAUUAACUAGGCUUAAAAGAUUCGUCUCGCAAAGUACAUACAAACUAUAUAAUUAAUUAUUUUUUAUCUAUAUUUAAUACUCUAUACAAUUAGUAUAAGAUGUAAUGUGAUGGGAAAUCUUAAAUAUUUUGCAAAAUAUUUCAGCAAGUAAACAAGCCCAGUGGGAUUGUCAAUUUUUGUAAGCCGUGAACAGUGAACAGGGUACCAACAAUACAUGUUGCAGUCACUGUCAAGCUGGCCCCACGAAACGUCACCUGGCCGCCUCACAGACAGGCCGCAGGCCGUAGUCAGUGAGAGUGAGCCGACAAAUCACUGCGGGCCGGGUGCAGUGCAGGGGCAUGCAGAGGAGGACGGACCGGCGAGUCGGAGAUUUUUGAAUUUUGCAUCGGCGCACGCGCACGCCGGACGGAGGAAAUGCCAUGCAAUGCAGCACGCAUGUCGUCGUCUCGUCUCGCACGCACCGGCACCGCUGCUCUUCUUCUCGGGAUACGCGAGCUCCAAGUGGUUGGCCAUGGGCUGGGCCAGUGGUGCAGGCUCGCAAGCCGAAACGACCAGAGUAGCGCAGGGUGCAACUUCUCACUGCAGUUUUCUCCCAAUAAGGCCUUGUUUAGUUCAAAAAAAUUUACAAAAUUUUUUAGAUUUCCCUUCACAUCGGAUCUUUAGACGCAUGCAUAGAGUAUUAAAUACAGAUGAAAUUAAAAACUAAUUACACAGUUUGGUUGAAAUUGACGAAACAAAUCUUUUGAGCCUAGUUAGUCCAUGAUUGGAUAAUUUUUAUCAAAUACAAACGAAAGUGCUACAGUGUCGAUUUUGUAAACAUUUUUGAACUAAACAAGGCCUAAGGCCAUGUUUAGAUUAGAGAUAAAACAUUGGAUAUGUCAGAAGGAUGUCGCGAGGGGUUUUUAGAAACUAAUAAAAAAACAAAUUAUAUAGCUCGUCAGGAAACUGCAAGACAAAUCCAUUAAGCAUAAUUAAUCUAUCAUUAGCACAUGUGGGUUAUGUAGCACUUAAGGCUAAUCAUGGAGUAACUAGGCUUAAAAGAUUCGUCUCGCUUUUUUUAACUAAACUGUGUAAUUAGUUUAUUUUUUAUCUACAUUUAAUGUUUUACGUAUGUGUCCAAAGAGUCGAUGGGAUGGAUGAAAAAUUUUUGGGUGAGUAACUAAACAGGGCCUAAAAAACUCACUGCAGUCAAGCAGUCCAAAAUAUGGCCGGACUUAUUUACCUUAGGCCUUGUUUAGAUUCGAAAAAAAUUUGGAUUCUGACAGUGUAGCACUUUCGUUUUUAUUUGACAAACAUUGUCUAAUCAUAGAGUAACUAGGCUUAAAAGAUUUGUCUCGCGAUUUACAGAUAAACUGUACAAUUAGUUUUUAUUUUCGUCUAUAUUUAAUACUCCAUACAUGUGCCAUAAGAUUCGAUGUGACAGAAAAUCUUGAAAUUUUUUUACUUUUUGGAGUGAACUAAACAAGACCUUAAAAUCUAAAAACUUUUCAAGAUUCUCUAAUAUAUUGAAUCUUACAACAUACUCCCUCCAUACUUGAUUUAAUAGCCGUCCUAGUCAGCACUCAUAAUUUCGCAAAGAGUGAUGUCCGUAGGAUAUGGAUACCGGACGUAAAUGCCCCUACACGUGAACGUCCAGCGCCAUGAAAAAAACCACGACUAACCAGGAGUCGAACCUGCAACCGACAGCCUCGCACCCCACGAAGCUAACCAAUCGAGCUAAAAAAACUAU